GAACUGAGUUCUCUACAAGUCUACAUAUUAAAGAUGCGACACUUGUAUUCUUAAAAAAUCCAUUUCUGAUGUUUUUUUUUUAAUCCUGAUGAAACGUCAACAAGUCCUUGCACACGAGAGAAAAACUAGGAAAGAACAACUACUACGGUUUUCAUCCAUGCACUACAGGGAUAGAUGAAAGUAGAAGUGUCGUCAACGUUUUCUAGAGGACCCGCCAUCUUAUACUAUGCUAGCAAGGUUUCUGAUAUGUGACUGACAUGUAAGAUGUCAAAGUGGAAUUGUAAAUGUUGACGAAGACAAAAGAUACCAAACACCACGUCGCAGCGAGAAGUAUCUGAGAUGAUUGGCGGGACGGAAAAUUGC